rfam:Dietzia cinnamea P4 contig00066, whole genome shotgun sequence.
UCAGAGCCCCGGCCCGGGGCCUCCGGACGAGGGGUGCCCUACCCGGUGUGCGACAAGACGGCCCGUA